ACAGAGGGUGCAAGCGUUAAUCGGAAUUACUGGGCGUAAAGCGUGCGUAGUCGGUUAUCUAAGUCGGAUGUGAAAUCCCCGGGCUCAACCUGGGAAUUGCAUUCGAUACUGGAUAGCUAGAGUUCGGCAGAGGGAAGCGGAAUUUCGGGUGUAGCGGUGAAAUGCGUAGAGAUCCGGAGGAAUACCAAAGGCGAAGGCAGUGUCCUGGGUGUUACCUGACGCUGAGGUGCGAAAGCCAGGGGAGCGAACGGGA
rnacentral:rRNA from 1 species